AUGUAGGGCAAUCUAUCUUUAAGUACGGGUAAAUUACUCAAAAAAAAAAAAAGAAAAAAAGAAUCCUAGAUAAUUUUCCCUUCAAGUCAAGCACCUUGU
rnacentral:pre_miRNA from 1 species